UCUAUCGCAACUCAUUUUUUUAAAUCUGUAUAAGAGCAUCAGUUUCCUUAAUGAAAUUGGGGGCAGAGCCUCCUGAACUUUACAAAAAAAUUAAACACCUGCCUCUAUGGAUUCAGUUCUCCUGGAGACCCUACCUACCUGAACGAGGGAGCAGCCGAGAACAAAAUUGAGGAAAGAAGAAGAAAGAAAUUGUAGCGAGUAGAGUGGGAAAUUACAUGAACCAUUGAGCUCAAGAGCCAUCAACUUGUGCUGCUAGCUCAAUGGUGCCAAAAAAUGUUACCCGAAAGAGAACUUACGUAGAUUUUUUUCAUCGCCC